UAACCCAAAUGGCAAGGCUAACUAUUGUGCCGAAAAAAAGGGAAGAAGAAGAAAGAAGAGUCUCUUGUCCCCCCCAACAAAACCCCAACCCUAACAAAAUCCUAACCCCAAUCCAUUCCAAAUGUUUCGUUCCUCUCUGUCUCUGGUUCUUCAAUCCAUUCGAUGAUGACGUGCGUUCCUUUAUUGAGCUUCGAUCUCAAUCUUUGCUCGCGAAUGAGCUUCGAUCUUCUCUGCUCGCAAAUGAGUUUCGAUCCUCUGCUCCUCUUCUUGUUGAGCUUCGAUCCUCUCUGCUUGCGUUCAUCACCGCCGGUCACUAUUCGAUUAUCACUGCUCUUGUUUUUGGUGAGAUUCUCGUUUUUGGCGUUCUUCUGCAGACGUUGGGCUUCUCUUGCCGGAAAUGACGAUUGCUAUUUGAGAAAUUGGGAGAUCAAAGCACAUAGUAGCAUAGCAAGACGGCAAAAAUUGUGUUCCUCUCUUUUCACAUUCAUCUAUACCACCAUCACAAUCUGUCACUCUUUCGAAGGUACUAAUGAUUAUGAUUAUACGAUGGAGUAGAAGAUUUUGAUGACUUGUUGACUAAAUUUGACAAGAAGAAGGGACAGUGUAUAAUGAACCAUACUUGUAAAUUGCCAAUGAAUUGGGAUUAAAGAUUCUUUUUGAUUGUGUGGAAAAUUGCAAAUCUAAUCCCCACAGGUGGCUUCCCUAUAAUUAAUUGUUAUUGUAAUUAAUUCUUUAUUUUGCCUGAAUCAUAUUCCUGUAAACAUUAAUCGAAUAAAGAUUGAUUUGAAGUUUAACUUGCUUGGCAUGAAAUUGAUUUGAAGAUGUAGUAUGUAAUUUGCUUGGGUUGUAAAUAAGAUUUUAGCUGACUAAAUAAGUUUUGUCCGUUCUUACUUAAUUAUAUUCUAAUUUCAUGUAUCUAGAAAUCUCCUAGGAGAAGAAUUGAUAACUUAGAUUUUAAUGAGAUUGAACGGCCUGAGCAUUGGCUGGACUCUUCAUUGAAGCAAAUUAGGCCUAACAAGUAACAAGGUAUGUAAAUUUAGUAGCUGACUCUUAUCAACUUUAUAUUGAGUUCACUGGGCUAAUAUCAUUAUGGUAAUUAGAAAUUAUGUUGGUUGAUUACCUUUAAUUUGUUCAUAGUUGCUUAUAUGUGAUAGUAGUUUAUCGGGAUUUGGUGGUAUAUAUACAGCUAGCUUUGAAGAUUUUCACUUAGUAGUUUUUGGUAUAUUGAAUGCUUCACUAACAAAGGAAUUUCGCAGUGUAAUUUUUUCCAUUUAUUUAUUAAAUUAUUGAGACAGAUAUGGACUUCAAGAUUAAGCUUUUUACAAUUGAUGGCAAAAGAGUGAAGCUUACUAUUUGGGACACAGGUUUUCUUACAAAAAAUAAGAAUCAAUGGGCAUACGCAACUGGUGGAAAGACGACUGGUAAGACGAUGUAGAAAGAUAUGAUGUGUUGAAAGAGAAGAGUCAGAAAGUGAAGUUGAUGAUAAUCCUGAAGCCUUCAAGUGCUAACAAAACAUCAGAACUGCGCUAUGAUCUCUUAUUAAUUGGAAAGAAAGUUUGGGUCAUAAGGUAAAACUUAUUCAGGAUGAGUUUGAUAAAGAUCCUCGGGAGAAUGGUUCUAAGGAUGAAAAUGGUUCCAAAGAUGCUCAUCGUAUUUGCCUCCCCCCCCCCCCCCCCUCCUUUAAGUACAUGUAUUUUGUUAAGGGUCGUUUAUUUAAUUAAUUUGCCAUAUUUUGUUAUGUGAAUUAAAGAGUUAUAAUAAUAUAUUUUAACUUGAUAAUA